CGAUAUGGCGUCACUUCGACCAGGAAACCAGAUUACCGCUAGGGGAGUAUACCAGGAUGGUACUUCAAAAUUUAGUGUGAAUAUUGUCGCGGUACCGGAUCGGAACACCAUCCUGCUUCAUGUGGACUUUAGAUUUAACGUACUUGUGCUGAACAGCAAAUUUGGACGUUGGGGAUCGGAAAAGAGGGUGAAUUACAGCAACAAAAGAUUUGAAGCAGGCGAAGAGUUCACAGUUACGAUUAAAGUCUCAGCUGAUGAAUAUCAAGUCUACCUCAACGAUGCAGAAAUUGGAAGAUACCCUGUGCGAGAAUUAAACCUAGCUAACGCUGUUCAGCUAAAGGGCGGCAGCAAAGGCUUCGAGUGGACCUUACUUGGCAUACCUUCGAACUAAGUUAAGUCGAGAAGCGUGUUUGAAGACGGUAGACGGCGUUGUAAGAUAAAGUUAAACAACAGCUGUUUCCUGCAGACGCUCACCGCGUUCUUCUUAUCAGCCGGGGCUUCAUACUCAACAAUUUAUUUGUUGUUUAUUAUGGUCAGUUAUGGUUAAAAUCAGGUCAAAACCUGCAUUUCAUAGAAGAGGACUGAAACAUUUUUUGGGGGCUCUCAAAUGUCUUUAAAACCGAAAAAACGUUGGAGCCCUAAAAUUCAGACUGGGAAAAUCGCCCAUUUGGCCACGCCCAUUUUUGGUACCAAAAUGUCCAGGCACAAUUUGAGAGAAAUAUAUAAUGUCAUUCCUUACAUAUUAGGGGUCUAUAUUUAUGUUUUUUGCACGACGAAUCGAUUAACAAGGUGCUUUAAAGCUCUAAAACACUUAUUUUUUUGCAAUUUUCAAGAUGCAGUUUAU